rnacentral:rRNA from 1 species
UACGGGGGGGGCAAGCGUUGUUCGGAAUUACUGGGCGUAAAGGGCUCGUAGGUGGUCAACUAAGUCGGACGUGAAAUCCCUCGGCUUAACCGGGGAACUGCGUCCGAUACUGGAUGACUUCAGUUCGGGAGAGGGAUGCGGAAUUCCAGGUGUAGCGGUGAAAUGCGUAGAUAUCUGGAGGAACACCGGUGGCGAAGGCGGCAUCCUGGACCGACACUGACGCUGAGGAGCGAAAGCCAGGGGAGCAAACGGG